rnacentral:sRNA from 1 species
AUGAAAACACCAUAAACUGAAACCAUUUGUUUAUCUACAAAACAGGACCUGGCAGGAACAGGUUCCCCAACGCUGACCUGGCAUGUCCUUCGACAGUGCCUGGGGACAUUCACUGACAGAUGGGAGGGUGGUUCAGUCCAUGCCCAUAAGUCUUUGACCAAG